AGUUCGCCAAUGGCGUCACUACGCGUAGUUCUGAGAUCCUUCGGGAGGUCUCACGGCCUUGGCGGUGAGCGUCCCGCCGAGGUCCAGCAAAGCGCUGGACGGUCUAAUCGUCUCCUUUUCGUAAUCGGCUGUGGGUAAUGUGUGCAGCCUAUAUUUGUAUCCAUCGUAUGAUUAGAGAAAUAAGUUUCGUAUUUCAGCGGUGUAUUAUGGAGGCUGCGAUGCUAUUCCUAUUUACUGGGAGCUUAACCCAGUGACUCAGUCGAUUUAUUGAAUUUAUAUCAUAUUUUUCCUCCAAAGUCUCAAGUGUGGUGUAAUGGGUUAAUGGCGAUUUAAUGACCAUGGCGGAAGUGAGGAGGGUUUAUGCUGGAUUGGAUGAGGACUCACAAGCAAAAUUUAAAUCUAACUGAAGUGUGACCAGCUCAUUUGAAACCUGCGAUUAGGAAGAUGAUGUAUUAAAGUACCAUUCUGU